rnacentral:lncRNA from 1 species
AGCAUCCAUUGUCGGUUUAUAAGAGGACUCUUCUACGUGAUCUGACGAUCCAGAAGCAAUCUAUUAUGCGAUCGGACGAUCGAGGAUGUUUUUGACUUUGAAUAGGAGAUCUUUUGCACGAUCCGACGGCCAAAACUUUAUUAGAACCCAGAUCAGACGAUUGACAUUCGAUCUGACUUUGAUUUAGAUUAAAACAUUGAUUUUUUGGGU